UUGUUAGUAAAUAUUCUGCUAAGAUAUGAAAGAUUAAAUUAUAGAACUUCAUUUUGCCAUUAAAGGAGUUUGCAUGACUGGAGAGUUACCAUUCUCUGGGCUUAACUCUAUAAUGCAUCUGCAUACAGUCUUGUCAACACAAGGACUGAAGACUGUUUAUUACUGCCAGAUGAAGUUCAAGGGCCCAGAACGGGACCAAGAAUCCUUCCUGGAUAUGACAUUGAUGAGAAAUCAAAG
rnacentral:misc_RNA from 1 species